rnacentral:lncRNA from 1 species
GCCAAUCCAGGAUUAGCUUUUAUUAGGGAGACAGAUCAUCAAGCUGAAGUGCCAAGCCCUUUCUGUCUGAGUACUGAGAGCCUGUCCUCCAUGUUUUAUAAGUAUUGACAUAACACUGUGUUAACAAUGCAUCCACAGAGAUUUAUAGAUUUUUACACUAUAGAUAGUGUAGAUGAAUGGAUGACUCCAGAUGACUGGAGGAAAGCAGAAGUUGUCUCUGUCUUCAAAAAAGGGGUAAAGGAAGAUCCAGCAAGUAACAGAGCUGUCAGUCUGACAUCGAUACCUGUGAAGCUUCAAAUCAUAAGAAAUCAAUCUGUAAGCAUUAUAAAAACUAUUUGUUAAUCACACAGAACCCAGCAUGGGUUUGUCUUGUCCAUUCCAAAAAU